rnacentral:rRNA from 1 species
CAUCCAUCCUGAAUGCACCCAAUUUCCUCUGAUCUCAGAAGCUAAGCAGGGUUGGGCCUGGUUAUACUUGGAGGGGAGAAUUUGCAGUUCUCAGUCGCAGCCUCCCAAGUGCUGAGAUUACAGGUAUGU